UACUAGAGUAGCACUCGCAUAUCAAUAAGCGGAGGAAAAGAAACUAACAAGGAUUCCCCUAGUAACGGCGAGUGAAGCGGGAAGAGCUCAAAUUUGAAAUCUUAAAGGGUUUCCCUUUACGAAUUGUAGUUUAAAGAAGUGUUUUCUGUUGAGGUUUUGGUAAAAGUUCUUUGGAAUAGGACAUCAUAGAGGGUGAGAAUCCCGUAUUUGACCUUUACUUUCAACUUUGUGAUACACUUUCAAAGAGUCGGAUUGUUUGGGAAUGCAGUCCAAAAUGGGUGGUAAAUUUCAUCUAAAGCUAAAUAUUGGCGAGGGACCGAUAGCGAACAAGUACCGUGAGGGAAAGAUGAAAAGAACUUUGAAAAGAGAGUUAAACAGUACGUGAAAUUGUCAAAAGGGAAGCGUUUGACACCAGUGUUGUUUUUCUGAAAAUCAAUUAAAGAACUGUUUAUGCUAAGUUGUUUAGACUUUAUCAGCUAUCUGCUUAGUUUUGAGCUUUUCUUUAAUGCACUUUUCAGUUAACAAGUCAACAUCAAUUUCUUUUGCUGUAAAAAAGCUUGAGGAAGGUGGCUUGAGAUUCGUCUUAAGUGUUUAUAGCCUCUUGCCUAUGCAGUCGGAGAGAUUGAGGUCUGCAGCGUAGAUCCUUCGGGGCUAAAUGCAUUUGUGCUAAGUUAUAGCAUUUUAUAGACAACUUGUUGACUAUGAUUUGUCUUGUAGCUUACUCGCUUAUGUUAUUUUACCUACGCUUAGGAUGUUGAACUCUAUCACACACA
rnacentral:rRNA from 1 species